AUUGAACGCUGGCGGCAUGCCUUACACAUGCAAGUCGAACGGUAACAGGUCUUCGGAUGCUGACGAGUGGCGAACGGGUGAGUAAUACAUCGGAACGUGCCUAGUAGUGGGGGAUAACUACCCGAAAGAGUGGCUAAUACCGCAUGAGAUCUACGGAUGAAAGCAGGGGAUCGCAAGACCUUGUGCUACUAGACGGGCCGGUGGCAGAUUAGGUAGUUGGUGGGAUAAAAGCUUACAAAGCCGACGAUCUGUAGCUGGUCUGAGAGGACGAUCAGCCACACUGGGACUGAGACACGGCCCAGACUCCUACGGGAGGCAGCAGUGGGGAAUUUUGGACAAUGGGCGCAAGCCUGAUCCAGCAAUGCCGCGUGCAGGAUGAAGGCCUUCGGGUUGUAAACUGCUUUUGUACGGAACGAAAAGCCCUGGGUUAAUACCCUGGGGUCAUGACGGUACCGUAAGAAUAAGCACCGGCUAACUACGUGCCAGCAGCCGCCGUAAAAC
rnacentral:rRNA from 1 species